CCAAACAACUACUACUAAAACUAUGGAAAAGUCUACAAGAGAUGGUAGUGAAUUAGAGCUUCAAAUGAUGUGUUUGAGAGAGACAGCCCCUAUGCCUUAAUUUAUAUUUGAUCCAUGAUGGUUUGGUGCCAAAAAAGAGGAAACAACUGCACACAAUCAUUGCAUGGCAACAUGCAACCGCCGGCCAAAGGUGGGCCCGCUAGGUCGCGUUAGGGGUGCGAGCCACUAGUUAAAAAAGCUAC
rnacentral:lncRNA from 1 species